CAGUCGCCGCGGGAAUACGGAGGGUGCAAGCGUUAUCCGGAUUUAUUGGGCGUAAAGAGCUCGUAGGCGGUUUGUCGCGUCUGCUGUGAAAACUGGAGGCUCAACCUCCAGCCUGCAGUGGGUACGGGCAGACUAGAGUGCGGUAGGGGAGAUUGGAAUUCCUGGUGUAGCGGUGGAAUGCGCAGAUAUCAGGAGGAACACCGAUGGCGAAGGCAGAUCUCUGGGCCGUAACUGACGCUGAGGAGCGAAAGCGUGGGGAGCGAACAGGAUUAGAUACCCCGGUAGUCCCUGUCUCUUAUAU
rnacentral:rRNA from 1 species